rnacentral:rRNA from 1 species
UAAGGAAUAUUGCGCAAUGGGCGACAGCCUGACGCAGCGACGCCGCGUGGGGGAUGAAGGUCUUCGGAUUGUAAACCCCUUUCGCAGGGAAGAUGGAACGGGCAACCGUUCGGACGGUACCUGCAGAAGCAGCCACGGCUAACUUCGUGCCAGCAGCCGCGGUAAUACGAAGGUGGCAAGCGUUGUUCGGAUUUACUGGGCGUACAGGGAGCGUAGGCGGUUGGGUAAGCCCUCCGUGAAAAUCUCCGGGCCUAACCCGGAAAGUGCGGAGGGGACUGCUCGGCUAGAGGAUGGGAGAGGAGCGCGGAAUUCCCGGUGUAGCGGUGAAAUGCGUAGAGAUCGGGAGGAAGGCCGGUGGCGAAGGCGGCGCUCUGGAACAUUUCUGACGCUGAGGCUCGAAAGCGUGGGGAGCAAACAGGAUUAGAUACC